rnacentral:rRNA from 1 species
AUUGAACGCUGGCGGCAGGCCUAACACAUGCAAGUCGAACGAGUGGCGGACGGGUGAGUAAUGUCUGGGACACUGCCUGUUGGAGGGGGAUAACUACUGGAAACGGUAGCUAAUACCGCAUACCAUCGGAUGUGCCCAGAUGGGAUUAGCUAGUAGGUGGGGUAAAGGCUCACCUAGGCGACGAUCCCUAGCGGGUCUUAAAGGAUGACCAGCAACACUGGAAUGGGGAAACGGUCAAGACUCCUACGGAAGGCAGCAGUGGGGAAUAUUGCACAAUGGGCGCAAGCCUGAUGCAGCCAGGCCGGGUGUAUGAAGAAGGCCUUGGGGUGGUAAAGUACUUUCAGCGAGGAGGCGUUACCCGCAGAAGAAGCACCGGCUAACUCCGUGCCAGCAGCCGCGGUAAUAC